rnacentral:misc_RNA from 1 species
GCUGGAUUAUCUGCCUAGGAACCAAGUCACAAGUCAGUGAUGCAGACUCCUUUGCAAUUGGUCAGCUGGAGGCCCACCAGGAGGAAGGCAUGGUGAUCUCCCACAUGGCCGUGUCCGGCGUCGGGAUCUGGAUUGCCUUCACCUCAGGGUCCACGCUCCGCCUUUUUCACACGGAAACUCUCAAGCACCUGCAGGACAUCAACAUCGCCACCCCUGUUCACAACAUGCUGCCAGGGCACCAGCGGCUGUCGGUGACGAGCCUGCUCGUCUGCCACGGAUUGCUGAUGGUCGGCACCAGCCUGGGAGUCCUCGUGGCCCUGCCGGUCCCACGUCUGCAAGGGAUUCCCAAAGUGACCGGAAGAGGCAUGGUCUCCUACCAUGCACACAACAGUCCUGUCAAAUUCAUCGUCCUGGCCACGGCUCUGCACGAGAAAGACAAGGACAAAUCCAGGGACAGCCUGGCUCCUGGCCCCGAGCCUCAGGACGAAGACCAGAAGGACGCACUUCCGAGUGGAGGAGCUGGUUCAUCUCUGAGCCAGGGUGACCCUGACGCAGCCAUCUGGUUGGGAGAUUCGCUGGGAUCGAUGACUCAGAAAAGCGACCUGUCCUCCUCAUCUGGGUCCCUGAGCUUGUCUCACGGCUCCAGCUCUCUAGAGCACAGAUCAGAGGACAGCACCAUCUAUGAUCUCCUGAAGGAUCCUGUCUCGCUGAGAAGCAAAGCACGCCGGGCCAAGAAAGCCAAGGCCAGCUCGGCGCUGGUGGUCUGUGGAGGGCAGGGCCACCGCCGGGUGCACAGGAAGGCCCGGCAGCCCCA